rnacentral:lncRNA from 1 species
AAGCGCGUUUGGAAGACAUGAGAGGAUGCAGUUCCUGGGCUCCUGACAUCCCACCAAGGGCGUCCAGCUGGGGGGUCCCCGCUCCUUCCGCUGUCUCUGCCUUCUAGCGACCACAGUGCCUUCAGUCUGAAGCUCCACCGCAGGGACCGCUCACGUCACUCCCUCAGCCUGACCAGACAGCCUGCUUCAGGCCCCCACUGCUGUUACUGUCUCAGAUCUACAUUUGUAUUUGUAUUUGUAUUUGUAUUUGUAUUUGUAUUUGUAUUUGUAUGAGGCCUUAUCUUCCCAACUGGAAUGUAAACCCUUUGCAAACUCUGUGCUCCCCCUCCCUCCUCCCCGCACUGCCCAGCACAGACGGAACCAGUAAAGAGGCUGAAUUACAGCAUGAUGUAACAAACAGAGGGGAGGAGCGAGGAUGGGGCGGAGGAGGCUCUGCCUCUGGGGCAUGCCCACGCCGCGUGCUCCUGGUUCCCUCCUUGCCCUCCACGCAGUGCGUGGGGCUGCAGUGGGUCCUGGAGGAGGAGGGAGGUGGCUCUGGAGGCCGCGUGCUCCCGGCGCCCCUCACGGAGCAGAGCGAGGCAGAGCACGCUUCCUUCUGCGUGUUCCGCACAGUCUUGAGGACCACUAGGGGACGUUGACGCCGUGACUCGAGCAGUGAUCCUCCUGGUAGAGACAGAAAAAGGUGUCUAUCUAACUGUUUGCCUGCUAAUCGGACCCGUGAGCCAGGUGUCACUCAGACUUCGUCACCUCAGCACUCUGCCUCAUCACGGCUGACUCUGCACCGUGGGAUCCACGGUUGGAAGGACCACUGGGCGUCAUCUGCAGGACACAGAGCGGGGACGGCUGCAGGCAGCGCGAGUGUGGACGAGCUGGAAUCGCCCUCUGAAGUCGGCAGUGUCCAACUCCAGGAGCGUGUUUGCACCGUGUCCCUGUGGCCAUCCACAAGCCCCCGGCUCGGCCGGGCGUUUUUUCAGGGCUCUGGAAUGAGUCCUUAUAUAGGAUCCAUUCGAAGCCAUAAGCCUGAUUGCAGGGCGCAGCCAACAUCUGGAGCAGCGGGAGAUGAUCGGACAGCAUUGCGAAACAUAAAAUAUGAAACUUAUUAACUUUUUCCUGUGUUAAAAGUAUUUUAAAUGGAAGCAAUCUGAUAGUGCAUUGAGCAAAACUUUAUCACCCAGAAAAGUUAAGAAAAAGAAGGAGAGUUCAGUCAUUUUAGGGUUUAUUUUAUUUCUUUUUGCCUGAGUUGCACUUUUGCCAAUUUUAGAACAUCAUUACCUUGCAUAAUGGAUUUUGCUUUAAAAGCAUUCUCACACCUGUUUGCCUUUGCAUAAGGACUAAUGUCACGUUGAGCCCAAGAAAAACAAGCCAUAAAUCAAUGUAUUAACGAGCAAGGAAAUUCAAGGUGCGGAGGAGUGACUGUCAUUCCUCAGGUGCAUGGGCACGAUCUUGCAGUCUCCUGGCAGCUCCACCCAUAGGCGUGCCGUGUGCACACGUGAAAGAGCUUUCCUCGGAAUUGCUCUAGCAGCUAAGGAGCAAAAGGAAAUCCUAACCAGAGCUGUGACAUCCCCCCAAGUCUGUAUUUCCCUGUCAUGAUGGCGCUGCUGGAAAGGGGCUGCAAUGCAAGAGACCUAAGGAGAUCUGCCCUCGGAUUGGCCCAGCCACCGCUCCUCCCAUUAUUGAAACCCGAGUCGCAGCCGUAAAUAUCCUCAAGUCAAUCUCUAAGUAUAAAAACAUCCCAGAAAUGUUGCCUGCGCACAAGCAAUUUCCCCCAAGAAAGGGAAUCUCGUAGAAAGUGGGGGAAGACAAAGGGCCAAUUUGGAAGAGAUACAAAUUGACUAUGAACAUGAUUUCUUUAAUUAAAUGAGAAAGCAUUAAAUCUUCUUUAGGACAAAAAUACCAAAAGUCUAUGUAUUCAGCAAACACAAUGAAUCAGUAAAUAGUUUUUUCAAGCCUUCGAGGUUAGUGAAAUUGACCUACCGUUUUAGCUAAAACAUAUCUUUGGCUUCCUAAUGUUGCACAACCUUUAGAAAGCUUAGAAGGGAAUAUUCCAGCUCUGGGAAGGCCAACGCCUUCCUGACGCCUAAUGUCAAACUUUAAGCCCAUGCAAAUGUGCAUCUGAGUCGAAGAAGAUACCAAGAUCGCAGACCAGGCACAGGCCGGGUGCCAGACGCCCUGCAGAUCCUGUUAGGAGGGUCUGUGUAAAUUAUCUCCUCCACUCCCCAAAGGAACCGUGCCAAAUAUGUCUGACAGUGUCCAUUUUACAGAUGCAGAAAUGGAGGCUCAAAGAGGCCAAGUAAUUUGCCCAAGAUGACAGGGACAGGAAGCAGCACAGAUGCAAUUCUAACCCAAGUCCUUAACUCCAACCACUACCACAACGGUCUUCCUCAAAAUAGUAAGGAACUACACAUUCAUGGCAAAUUGCUUUUUUAUUCAUGAAAUAAAUUGCCAUUAUUAUGUUCACCUUUUGGAAAAAAGUUAAGAACAAGAGACUCAAACAUCGACAUUUUCUGCUCCUAUGUUGAAUGGCCAGGAACUAUGUAAAUGAGAGGGCUGGGCCACCCUGGUUUUAUUAUCAUGUUUACCACCUGCUGCCGCGUACAGAGCGCUCUGCCCUACGUCUUAGCGUGGAUUGCUAGAAGAAUCCUUUCAAGUUGUAUACAGCAGGUAUGAGUCAUUUUCUCAUUUUGCAAAUGAGGAAACUUCGGUUUAGACAAAUUAAAUGACUCACCUAAGAUCAGGCAGUAGGAAUCUAAACCUAGAGCACCAUACUUGAAACAAUGAUUUUUAAAGAAAAUUAAACCUUGAGGACGCGACUCCCAAAGUCGUCUCAGUUACGUCCAUUAUAAAAGUCUAUUCAUAAAUUCACGUUUUCUAAGGAUUUUUGGAAAAUUUGUGGGGAAAAUUCUCAUCUGAUGCUUCCGUCCCACAAAAGAAUUAUUUUUACAUAAUCAUUUAUCCUUUAAAAGGGAAACAUUCAUACUAUUGACGGACUUAAGGUGUGAAGACCUGGCCACAAGCCACAGUUAACCGAAGGACGAUUCCUCCCGCAGGACUGUGCAGGCUCCGAGGGGUUCUGUCAUUUCUGUCAUCCCUGAGUGGGCUUCUCAAUAGCACGUGGGAUAAAUAACCUUUCCUGCAGAAGAAGGUGGGUUCACAGGGAUAUUCAGCUGCGUCACUGACACCAGUUGAUUCAUUUUAAGUCAAGAAGCAUCUGCUGGUCUUCCCCUGCCAGCGUGGUGUGAGGCAUCCUUCAUCCUGGUUGCACCUGCCAUGUGCAGGCUCUUUGGGACUCUGGAGCACACUUGUCCUGUCUCAGGACAGCCCUGCCCAGCUCCUCCCAUGGGACAGGAUCUGAACCAGGUCUCCUCACAGAUCCUGGCUCAGGGGGUGGGAGAUGGCAUGUCCAGGUGGCAGGUGGGAGCUGGAGUCCAGGCGGGACAAUGGGACCCAGGCUGUCCAACAGGAGAACUAGCCUGUGGCCAUGUGGGCAAUGUGGGGCCGGUGGGUGCAGGGCAAUGCUGUGUUAGUCUGCUCCAGCUGCCAUGACAAAUGCCACGGAUGGGAGACCUGAACAACAGACACUGAUUUCUCACAAUUCUAGGGGAUGGAAGCCCAAGGUCACGGUGUUGGCUGGUUUGGUUUCUGGCGAAGCCUCUUCCCUCUGUUUGUUGACGCCGCCUUCUCCCCGUGUCCUCAUGUGGCCUUCCUGCUGUGCGUGCAAGUGGAAAGGGAAAGAGAGAGCUCUGGGGUCGCCUCCUCCUCUUCUCAGGACACCAGUCUGACCAGAUCAGGGCCCCACCCUUAUGACUUCAUUUAAGCUUAAUCACCUCCCUGAAGGCCCCACCUCCAAAUGCAGCCACAGUGGGGGGUUAGGGCUUCAACAUGGGAAUUUCAGGGGGGCACAGCAUUCAGGCCAGAGCAAAUUGCAUCCAGAACCCGCACCAUUCCUUACUCACUUAGUGGACAGGGCUCUGGCCCUACCAAGGGCACUGGCUGGGGCUAGGUGGACACUAAUCCAGGCCUGUUCUAGAAAGACUCCACCCCACGGGGGAAACGGCCCCAAGCUGGGCCUAGACGGAGGCUGUCCCCGUAGUCUGCCGGGCAGGGGCACCACGUUCCAGGGUUUGUCCUUCCAGAAACUUGAUUGUGGCUCUGUCAGAUGUGCCAAGCCUACCCCAAACCAACCAGACCCACUGACAUAUUAACAUACGGGCAACACAUAUUUAUGGAACAUAUCCACUUGCCAGGUGUCGCUCUAGGAAAAUGGAAGUGCACAGAACCGACAAAAUUCCCUAUUACCGGAGCAUAUUACAUCCCAGACAGAGAACGUGAUUAUCCCAUGUCGGCGAUGCUCAGGUUUACACCCGCUGGACUCUCUCCCCUGGAAGGGCCCUGGGACGGGGGGGGGGGUUAAGAAUCAGCUGGGUCUUGUUGCCCCAAUUCAGAGAAAAGAGUAGCACUAAGUAGUCUGGGAGGGAAUUUCCAGGGAGAAUCAGGAUGGAGCCCACCUCCUCACUGACCAGACGCUCUUGUCUCUCUCUAUUUACCAGUCUCGGGGCAGUCAAGCCUCCCUGGGCUGGACCCUUGUCACUCGGCUUGUGUUUGCACAUUUCUCAAAUGUCCUCAGCACACACGAACCACGUACAGGGCGGAUCACUUCUACAGACCCGCUAUAUGCCCAUCUGUGAACUUGUCUCACUGCCGGAAACUAACCGAAUACCACGCCUGGUUAGAUGGCCAGCAUCCUCUGAUGCUCUGCCUGGAAGGGGCGCGCAGGUGUCAGGAACAAACAAGGGCCGUAACUCGAAUCUGGGUCAUUUGUGCAGGGCUGGACUAGAGCAGGGGGGUAGGCGCUGACCCCAGAGGGUGGCACUGUCUCAAGCUAGAGCUGGCCUUUGCUCCAGGAUGAGACGGAGCCUGCUGGGGUUCGGCAGCCCCUGCCUGAGAUGACAUUCAUGAUGUCACCAAGGGAAGGGGAUUCCAAUGCAUUCUUUCUCAAUCCUCAAAGCCUGAAGUCGCACCUUUGGAGAGAAAAGGUCUAGAAUUUUUACACACAUCUCAUUCUCUACAGGGUAGAAUGCUAAGAAAAAUGGCAAGAAAUUGCACAUUGGAGGCAACGAUAAUGCCUUAUAAAGAAGACUUUUUUUAAAUGCUUUUUUUAAGGGGAGCACUAACGCGGCUUUGGAUACCACCCCCACCCUUGCCCCUUCCUCCCCAGGUCCGUUGUCAGAAGAGGACAGUGCACUAAUAAGAGCAUGGGAGCCUCAUAGAGCAAGGCUCGCCAAAAAAGGGAAGAAAAGAAAAGGAGCAGAUUCACAGCUGAAUCCUUACAAAAAUAAACGAAACGGAGCAAUUGGACACACAACCACAACCAUCGCUGCCUCUCCACCUGAGGAGGCAGCCACAUCUUUGAACCUUCCUGUGUCUGUCCAAUUAACCGUGACAAUUAGGAGAACAGAUGCCGAGGUGCACACCGCGAGCUUGCCUCUUCAUUUCCGGUGAGGAAGCGCGCACGUGCUAGAGAGAUGGGCGUGAAUCACAUCAGGCGGGGAAUCGUUUCUGUAGCACGAUCUUG